ensembl:snoRNA
AUCCUUUUGUAUUUCAUAAACUACUGACUGUGUUUUCACACUUAUGAGCAAACCUUGUUAGGAUGUGGAUACAUUACCUGUCUGAUG